UUACCACAACGGCUUCCUGGCGUGGUGAAUUCAUCUAACUGGAGCG
rnacentral:ncRNA from 1 species